AGUCAGCCUGUGCUUUGAAGCUUUGAAGCCAGGCCUUGACUUCUCUCUAGCUAUGAAGGCCCUAGAUGACAU
ensembl:miRNA